rnacentral:rRNA from 1 species
UACGGAGGGUGCGAGCGUUGUCCGGAAUCAUUGGGCGUAAAGGGCGCGUAGGUGGCCUGGUCAGUCUGUGGUGAAAGCGCGGGGCUCAACCCUGCGUCGGCCGUGGAUACUGCUGGGCUGGAGCACUGUAGAGGCAGGCGGAAUUCCGGGUGUAGCGGUGGAAUGCGUAGAGAUCCGGAAGAACACCGGUGGCGAAGGCGGCCUGCUGGGCAGUGCUGGACACUGAGGCGCGACAGCGUGGGGAGCAACAGGG